AAAUAGCCGACUUAAUUGAACUUUGUGGCCUUUUUUAUGAAAACAUAUUAUUUGUCAGCACGCCAAAGCUGUGACGCUAGCCAAUCACACGGCGCGUAAUUUGUUCUACAUUCCAAGGUUGUGACGCUGGCCAAUCAGUUUUCAUGUACUCUCUUUGAAUCACGAUAUGGCGCGCAAGCAUAUGACCGUUACAUAUUUCGACAUCAUACUGCAGUUGUGUGGACGUGUAGCGUGCAGCCGACAUCAUUUUACUCAAAUAACAGAAGAGUUUACAAGACCUCACAGAUGACGAAACCCCACUCAGCAAUGAUUCAUACAGGAAUUGAGGAGGAGCCAAAGUCAGCAUGGAUUGUCGAACCAGUAUGGAGGAGUUAUGUAUGACUUUCGAAGAUGCUUCAGUUUGAAAUCUUUCGGACAGUACUCGCAGUGCCGUAGCUGGUGCAUGACCAAGUGAUUGAAGACAGUUCAACAAUGAUGGGCAGAGUGGAACUGAAAAAAAGCAGAUGAGGAGACGGACCUUUUCAGUUUCGCAGCGAGGUCUAGUAACUUCGUAAUCGGGCAAGGUGAUGGAUGUUGCUGCUUGUUGAGUUUUUCAUCUCCUGUCAAGUUUGCGCCUGAAAGAAGAGGUGAUGGAGGGACACACUGAGGGCCCAUGCACCUUCACAUUCAGUCGUACCUUUGGACUGUGUUAAAUAUUUCAAUAUUGGAACAGUUGAUUAAUAGUAAUUGUU